GACGAACGCUGGCGGCGUGCCUAAUACAUGCAAGUUGAGCGCUGAAGGUUGGUACUUGUACCGACUGGAUGAGCAGCGAACGGGUGAGUAACGCGUGGGGAAUCUGCCUUUGAGCGGGGGACAACAUUUGGAAACGAAUGCUAAUACCGCAUAAAAACUUUAAACACAAGUUUUAAGUUUGAAAGAUGCAAUUGCAUCACUCAAAGAUGAUCCCGCGUUGUAUUAGCUAGUUGGUGAGGUAAAGGCUCACCAAGGCGAUGAUACAUAGCCGACCUGAGAGGGGGAUCGGCCACAUUGGGACUGAGACACGGCCCAAACCCCUACGGGAAGCAGCAGUAGGGAAACUUCGGCAAUGGACGAAAGUCUGACCGAGCAACGCCGCGUGAGGGAAGAAGGGUUUCGGAUCGUAAAACUCUGUUGGUAGAGAAGAACGUUGGUGAGAGUGGAAAGCUCAUCAAGUGACGGUAACUACACAGAAAGGGACGGCUAACUACGUG
rnacentral:rRNA from 1 species